CCUACGGGAGGCAGCAGUGGGGAAUAUUGCACAAUGGGCGAAAGCCUGAUGCAGCAACGCCGCGUGAGUGAAGAAGGAUUUCGGGUUGUAAAGCUCUGUCAGCAGGGAAGAAAAUGACGGUACCUGACGAGGAAGCCCCGGCUAACUACGUGCCAGCAGCCGCGGUAAUACGUAGGGGGCUAGCGUUAUCCGGAUUUACUGGGUGUAAAGGGAGCGUAGGCGGUUGCGUAAGUCAGAAGUGAAAGGCCAUGGCUUAACCAUGGUAAUGCUUUGGAAACUGGGGACCUGGAGUGCAGGAGAGGUAAGCGGAAUGCGUGGUGUAGCGGUGAAAUGCAUAGAUAUUACGAAGAACUCCGAUUGCGAAGGCAGCGCUCUGGCGCCUAACUGACGCUGAAGCACGAAGGCGUGGGUAUCGAACAGGAUUAGAUACCCCGGUAGUC
rnacentral:rRNA from 1 species